GUUUCCGUAGUGUAGCGGUUAUCACGUGUGCCUCACACGCACAAGGUCUCCGGUUCGAUCCCGGGCGGAAACG